rnacentral:rRNA from 1 species
AGUGAACGCUGGCGGUAGGCCUAACACAUGCCAGUCGAACGGCAGCACAGUAAGAGCUUGCUCUUACGGGUGGCGAGUGGCGGACGGGUGAGGAAUACAUCGGAAUCUACUUUUUCGUGGGGGAUAACGUAGGGAAACUUACGCUAAUACCGCAUACGACCUACGGGCGAAAGCAGGGGAUCUUCGGACCUUGCGCGAUUGAAUGAGCCGAUGUCGGAUUAGCUAGUUGGCGGGGUAAAGGCCCACCAAGGCGACGAUCCGUAGCUGGUCUGAGAGGAUGAUCAGCCACACUGGAACUGAGACACGGUCCAGACUCCUACGGGAGGCAGCAGUGGGGAAUAUUGGAAAAUGGGCGCAAGCCUGAUCCAGCCAGACCGCGUGGGUGAAGAAGGCCUUCGGGUUGUAAAGCCCUUUUGUUGGGAAAGAAAAGCAGCAGGUUAAUACCCCGCUGUUCUGACGGUACCCAAAGAAUAAGCACCGGCGAACUGCGU